UCAGACCCUGGAGCCUGCUUCAGAUUCUGUCUCUGCUUUUGUCGAGAUGUUCCUGGAGCUGUGGGACAUUCUACAAGGGUUUUGGCCCACUUCCCUGAACCCUCCUCAAUUUCUCUGGUUUUGUAGACUAUGACAGUCUAUGAGAAUAAAAAUGGCUUUCUUUCA